GUAAAGUCCGUAAAGUGCUGCCAAUGAUUUCGUUCGCUUUCGCUCAGAGAAUCAACGAUCUGAACAGAAUCUGUCAGAGCGCGGCUUUAUAUGCGUUCUGUUUGUGAAGUCAAACAUUCCAUUCACCAUGGCAACGAGGGAGACACCUAUAGCUCUUUACUGGAUUUAUCCAUGUGAAAAGCUGAAGAGAUCUGUCGUCCUCCUCAGAGCAGCUGGCACGAAGCAUCACAGGGAAGAGCUAAAGCUGCAGACACAAGUAAAAGGAAAAAGGGACAGGAAGAGCCAAAGGGACGGGACAUGCAGCAAGAGGAAGACCAGCAAGUAGACGGGGAAUGUCUACAUGGGGAAGACGGGCAGCUUCACCUGUUCUGGAUAUAUAUUAAAUAAAACUAUAACAAAACAUUUACGACAACUAA